GCCAGAGAUGGCUUGGUGCCCGAAAGGGAAUCGGAACACAGGUGCUGCAUGGCUGUCGUCAGCUCGUGUCGUGAGAUGUUGGGUUAAGUCCCGCAACGAGCGCAACCCUUAUCAUUAGUUGCUACGCAAGGGCACUCUAAUGAGACUGCCGGUGACAAACCGGAGGAAGUGGGGAUGACGUCAAGUCCUCAUGGCCCUUAUGGGUAGGGCUUCACACGUCAUACAAUGGUCGGUACAGAGGGUUGCCAAGCCGCGAGGCGGAGCCAAUCCCACAAAGCCGAUCGUAGUCCGGAUUGUUCUCUGCAACUCGAGAGCAUGAAGUCGGAAUCGCUAGUAAUCGCAGGUCAGCAUACUGCGGUGAAUACGUUCCCGGGUCUU
rnacentral:rRNA from 1 species